UACGAAGGGUGCAAGCGUUACUCGGAAUUACUGGGCGUAAAGCGUGCGUAGGUGGUUUGUUAAGUCUGAUGUGAAAGCCCUGGGCUCAACCUGGGAACUGCAUUGGAAACUGGCUUACUAGAGUGCGGUAGAGGGGUGUGGAAUUCCCAGUGUAGAGGUGAAAUUCGUAGAUAUUGGGAAGAACACCGGUGGCGAAGGCGGCUCACUGGCUCAUAUCUGACGCUCAGGCGCGACAGCGUGGGGAUCAAACAGG
rnacentral:rRNA from 1 species